rnacentral:rRNA from 1 species
UACGGGGGGAGCAAGCGUUGUUCGGAUUUACUGGGCGUAAAGGGCGCGUAGGCGGCCAGCACAAGUCAGUUGUGAAAUCUCCGAGCUUAACUCGGAAAGGUCAACUGAUACUGUGCGGCUAGAGUGCGGAAGGGGCAACUGGAAUUCCUGGUGUAGCGGUGAAAUGCGCAGAUAUCAGGAGGAACACCGGUGGCGAAGGCGGGUCUCUGGGCAGUGAACUGACGCUGAGGAGCGAAAGCGUGGGGAGCGAACGGG